UUGUGCGUGCGCUGACGCACAAUGGAGAAGUUUGCCUCGAACGUCGACUACUAGGCUGCAGCCUUCCAGGCCGCGGUCCAUCCCUCCAAUGAGCGUCGUCAAACAGUAAACGUCAUCGACAGCGCCACAGUUUGUCUGAAAGAGC